GAGUUUGAACCUGGCUCAGGAUGAACGCUGGCGGCGUGCUUAACACAUGCAAGUCGAACGGAGGACCCCUGAAGGAGUUUUCGGACAACUGAAGGGGAUCCUUAGUGGCGGACGGGUGAGUAACGCGUGAGUAACCUGCCUUGGAGUGGGGAAUAACAGUUGGAAACAGCUGCUAAUACCGCAUGAUGCAGUUGGGUCGCAUGGCUCUGACUGCCAAAGAUUUAUCGCUCUGAGAUGGACUCGCGUCUGAUUAGCUAGUUGGCGGGGUAACGGCCCACCAAGGCGACGAUCAGUAGCCGGACUGAGAGGUUGGCCGGCCACAUUGGGACUGAGACACGGCCCAGACUCCUACGGGAGGCAGCAGUGGGGAAUAUUGGGCAAUGGGCGCAAGCCUGACCCAGCAACGCCGCGUGAAGGAAGAAGGCUUUCGGGUUGUAAACUUCUUUUCUCAGGGACGAAGCAAGUGACGGUA
rnacentral:rRNA from 1 species